rnacentral:rRNA from 1 species
UACGGAGGGUGCGAGCGUUGUCCGGAAUCACUGGGCGUAAAGGGCGCGUAGGUGGCCUGUGGAAGUCUGCGGUGAAAGCCCGGCGCUCAACGCCGGGUCGGCCGUGGAUACUCUCGGGCUUGAGCUUACUAGAGGCAGAUGGAAUUCCGGGUGUAGCGGUGGAAUGCGUAGAGAUCCGGAAGAACACCGGUGGCGAAGGCGGUGAGCUGGGCAGUAGCUGACACUGAGGCGCGACAGCGUGGGGAGCAAACAGG